rnacentral:misc_RNA from 1 species
AUAUAAUUCCUUAAUUCUUUUUUCAUUUUGAAGAAUUUUAUUUUAAAGUUGUUUAUAUUUUACAACAUGUUCCAUAAAAAGCCAGUUCUCGCCCAGUUACUCUUAUUGUUAAAUAUUUACAAGUAUUAUAAGUGGUUUAUAUAUUAUAACUAUGCAUGUCACAUGAUGGUGUCUAAAAGAUGGAAUUUUAAUAUGUCACAUAAAUAUCAUAGAGAUAUC